GACGAACGCUGGCGGCGUGCUUAACACAUGCAAGUCGAACGGAAAGGCCCUGCUUUUGUGGGGUGCUCGAGUGGCGACCGGGUGAGUAACACGUGAGUAACCUGCCCUUGCCUUUGGGAUAACUUCAGGAACCUGGGGCUAAUACCGGAUAGAAGCUCCUGCUGCAUGGGGGGGGUUGGAAAGUUUCGGCGGUUGGGGAUGGACUCGCGGCUUAUCAGCUUGUUGGUGGGGUAGUGGCUUACCAAGGCUUUGACGGGUAGCCGGCCUGAGAGGGUGACCGGCCACAUUGGGACUGAGAUACGGCCCAGACUCCUACGGGAGGCAGCAGUGGGGAAUAUUGCACAAUGGGCGGAAGCCUGAUGCAGCAACGCCGCGUGCGGGAUGACGGCCUUCGGGUUGUAAACCGCUUUCGCCUGUGACGAAGCGUGAGUGACGGUAAUGGGUAAAGAAGCACCGGCUAACUACGUG
rnacentral:rRNA from 1 species